GCGAGGCAUGGUGGUGCAUGCCUGUAGUCCCAGCUACUCCGGGGGGCUGAGGUGGGAGGAUCACUUGAGCCCAGGGCGGCCAAGGCUGCAGUGAGCUAAGAUCACACCACUGCGCCCUGGCCUGGGCGACAGAGUGGGACCCUGUCUCAA
rnacentral:sRNA from 1 species